rnacentral:misc_RNA from 1 species
GAUGAAGAACGCAGCGAAAUGCGAUAAGUAAUGUGAAUUGCAGAAUUCAGUGAAUCAUCGAAUCUUUGAACGCACAUUGCGCCCGCCAGUAUUCUGGCGGGCAUGCCUGUCUGAGCGUCAUUUCAACCCUCAUGCCCCUAGGGCGUGGUGUUGGGGAUCGGCCAAAGCCCGCGAGGGUCGGCCGGCCCCUAAAUCUAGUGGCGGACCCGUCGUGGCCUCCUCUGCGAAGUAGUGAUAUUCCGCAUCGGAGAGCGAUGAGCCCCUGCCGUUAAACCCCCAACUUUCCAAGGUUGACCUCAGAUCAGGUAGGAAUACCCGCUGAACUUAAGCAUAUCAAUAAGCGGAGGA